CUCAAGAACAGGAGCUGGUUCCCAGCUUCCCAGGGGACUCCUUUGGGAGCCACAGCCCAACAGCACCACCCACCUCAGGCAAGGAUCUGCCUCCUGCAUCAUCUUCCUGGUGGCGUGGGGUCAGUUAAAGUUCUCCAGCAGUGCUGCGGAGGUUUUCUCCACACAAGCGGGGGUGUUAACCAUGGUGGCAUGGCACGGCUCCAGCUCGGCUCUCCCGCUGCUCUGGCAGCCGGGGCAGCGCACCCCGCGCUGUUUAAACAGCUGCCUCGUUUCAUCUGGGACGUGGCUGCCCUUCAGUCCUGGGAGAAGAGCUCAUCUUCUGGAGAGUUUGCAUAACAAUUAACAUUUGUCAGCUGAGAUCUGCCUGGUGAAAGAUCGCUAUUUACAAGUAGGCGGCUGGAGUGAUACGUGUCUCCCUUCUUCCUGAAACCUGGAUUUGAAAAGCUCUGUGAUGCCUCAUCUUCUCAUAACCUUGCAGAACAACAGCAUUAGCAGUAAUGAGCAAAGCACAGCAGCACCUCAGGACAAACUCUGGGACAAAUGGAAAGACCACCUGGGUGUAAUGUUGUAGGAAGCAGAUAGCAAAUGGUAUCUUCUUUUUAUAACUAUUAUGUUAGAAAGGAUAAAUUCAGCACUUCAGCGUUUUCUUUAGGUUUUUGACAUAUACAAAUAAUUUCUUGUUCUAAGAAAUAAGUGAUACCAGAAUGUAUUCAAUAAUAGUUAAAAUAUGGGUCUCGGCUGUUUGUUUUUCUUUCUGUCUAAGCCUCUGUUACAUGAGCUUACCUUUGCACAGAAGCAGCACAGAAGUCUAUGGGGAAAAGAAAAAUAGUGCUAGAGGCUGCCAAAAAGUGUGGGGAAAAAGUCAAUGAUGAGUGAGAAAGGCAGAAGGAAAUGAAUUUAUGAAGCUCUUGUCCUGAUUUCUUUAUGCUUGAAUCCAUCUAAGAAUACGACUUCUUUCCAAAAAUACAGCUACUCUCAGUCUUUGACCCCCAAAUGCUGGAGCAGGAGGUCUGGGAUAGCAGCUAUGAGCCCUAGCACCUUGAUCCCAGCAUCAAACUUUGUGUUCAUGGACAAUUUACUUUUUCCUUCAAUUUUCAGCAACAUCUUUGGUUUUCAGUAGCACAUAUUGGUAUUAAACUCUACAAAAUCUGCUCUUACUGUCUUGACCUUCUCCAUGGAAAAUACUUCUGAGACCCGUGGGAUGUUGUUCAGUUACCAUAGCACAAUGCCCAGAACUUCUCUGGCAGUGGUAACUCCAAGCCAGGCUGCUUUUCACUGCCAACCUGCUCACACACCAUGGUGACUUCACCCAAACGGAGGGUGAAAAGAAACCAACACCUACCUUUGUUUUAAGACAGCCCUGAUUAGAGGGUCUCGCAAUGAGUUACUUACACC
rnacentral:lncRNA from 1 species